ACGGAGGGUGCGAGCGUUAAUCGGAAUUACUGGGCGUAAAGCGCGCGUAGGUGGUUACCUAAGCUAGAUGUGAAAGCCCCGGGCUUAACCUGGGAACUGCAUUUAGAACUGGGUGACUAGAGUACAGCAGAGGAUAGUGGAAUUUCAGGUGUAGCGGUGAAAUGCGUAGAUAUCUGAAGGAACAUCAGUGGCGAAGGCGACUGUCUGGGCUGAUACUGACGCUGAGGUGCGAAAGCGUGGGGAGCAAACAGG
rnacentral:rRNA from 1 species